GCUGUCUCCACCCGAGACUCAGUGAAAUUGAACUCGCUGUGAAGAUGCAGUGUACCCGCGGCAAGACGGAAAGACCCCGUGAACCUUUACUAUAGCUUGACACUGAACAUUGAGCCUUGAUGUGUAGGAUAGGUGGGAGGCUUUGAAGCGUGGACGCCAGUCUGCGUGGAGCCGACCUUGAAAUACCACCCUUUAAUGUUUGAUGUUCUAACGUGGACCCGUUACCCGGGUUGCGGACAGUGUCUGGUGGGUAGUUUGACUGGGGCGGUCUCCUCCUAAAGAGUAACGGAGGAGCACGAAGGUUGGCUAAUCCUGGUCGGACAUCAGGAGGUUAGUGCAAUGGCAUAAGCCAGCUUGACUGCGAGCGUGACGGCGCGAGCAGGUGCGAAAGCAGGUCAUAGUGAUCCGGUGGUUCUGAAUGGAAGGGCCAUCGCUCAACGGAUAAAAGGUACUCCGGGGAUAACAGGCUGAUACCGCCCAAGAGUUCAUAUCGACGGCGGUGUUUGGCACCUCGAUGUCGGCUCAUCACAUCCUGGGGCUGAAGUAGGUCCCAAGGGUAUGGCUGUUCGCCAUUUAAAGUGGUACGCGAGCUGGGUUUAGAACGUCGUGAGACAGUUCGGUCCCUAUCUGCCGUGGGCGCUGGAGAACUGAGGGGGGCUGCUCCUAGUACGAGAGGACCGGAGUGGACGCAUCACUGGUGUUCGGGUUGUCAUGCCAAUGGCACUGCCCGGUAGCUAAAUGCGGAAGAGAUAAGUGCUGAAAGCAUCUAAGCACGAAACUUGCCCCGAGAUGAGUUCUCCCUGAGACUUUAGGUCUCCUGAAGGAACGUUGAAGACGACGACGUUGAUAGGCCGGGUGUGUAAGCGCAGCGAUGCGUUGAGCUAACCGGUACUAAUGAACCGUGAGGCUUAACCUU
rnacentral:rRNA from 1 species